rnacentral:rRNA from 1 species
CCUACGGGAGGCAGCAGUAGGGAAUAUUGCUCAAUGGGGGAAACCCUGAAGCAGCAACGCCGCGUGGAGGAUGAAGGUUUUCGGAUUGUAAACUCCUUUUGUUAGAGAAGAUAAUGACGGUAUCUAACGAAUAAGCACCGGGUCACUCCGUUCCAGCAGCCGCGGUAAUACGGAGGGUGCAAACGUUACUCGGAAUCACUGGGCGUAAAGGGCGCGUAGGCGGGAUAGCAAGUCAGAUGUGAAAUCCUAUGGCUUAACCAUAGAACUGCAUUUGAAACUGUUAUUCUAGAGUAUGGGAGAGGUAGGUGGAAUUCGUGGUGUAGCGGUAAAAUGCGUAGAGAUCAAGAGGAAUACCGAUUGCGAAGGCGACCUGCUAGAACAUAACUGACGCUGAUGCGCGAAAGCGUGGGGAGCAAACAGGAUUAGAUACCCUUGUAGUC